AUAACACUAUUUGUGAUGAGGGACUAGAUGGUAGCAGUGAGGGCAGUGCAUUGGAGAUUAAUUUUAAAGAUUAUGAUCAUGUGGGUACGAAUGAAGAUAUGGCAGUUGCUGAAGAUGAGGUACCUAAAGAGGAAGUGGUUGAAGAUAAAAGUAAGGAAAAAAGGAAUAAAAAGUGGUUGAAGAUAAAAUUAAGGAAAAAAGGAAGAAAAAGGCGAAGGGAAAAGGAAAGGUAAAUAUAAAGGGGAGUCUAAAGGUAAAAGGAAAGGGAAGGGUAAAGGGAAAGUUGGAAGACCACCUAAGAAAUCGAAGCAGUGUGAAGGAAGUGGUGAAGGAAAUGGUGAAGGAAGU
rnacentral:lncRNA from 1 species